GAUGGACGCUGACAGAAUGCUUAACACAUGCAAGUCGAUUCAAGUUACCUUCGGGUAAUGAGGAUGGCGGACGGGUGAGUAACGCGUAAGGAACUUGCCUCUUGGUCUGGGACAACUGUUGGAAACGACAGCUAAUACCGGAUAUUAUGAGAUUCUCGCAUGGGAAACUUAUGAAAGCUAUAUGCGCCAAGAGAGAGCCUUGCGUUCCAUUAGCUAGUUGGUGGGGUAACGGCCCACCAAGGCGACGAUGGAUAGCCGGCCUGAGAGGGUGAACGGCCACAAGGGGACUGAGACACGGCCCUUACUCCUACGGGAGGCAGCAGUGGGGAAUAUUGGACAAUGGGCCACAAGCCUGAUCCAGCAAUUCUGUGUGCACGAUGAAGGUCUUCGGAUUGUAAAGUGCUUUCAGUUGGGAAGAAGAAAGUGACGGUACCAACAGAAGAAGCGACGGCUAAAUACGUGCCAGCAGCCGCGGUAAUACGUAUGUCGCAAGCGUUAUCCGGAUUUAUUGGGCGUAAAGCGCGUCUAGGCGGAAAAAUAAGUCUGAUGUUAAAAUGCGGGGCUCAACUCCGUAUUGCGUUGGAAACUGUUUUUCUAGAGUACUGGAGAGGUGGGCGGAACUACAAGUGUAGAGGUGAAAUUCGUAGAUAUUUGUAGGAAUG
rnacentral:rRNA from 1 species